CUAAGAAUAUUCCGCAAUGGACGGAAGUCUGACGGAGCGACGCCGCGUGGAUGACGAAGGCCGAAAGGUUGUAAAGUUCUUUUGCUGGGGAAGAAUAACCGCAGGAGGGAAUGCCUGUGGGAUGACAAGAACCGGCGAAUAAGCCCCGGCCAACUACGUGCCAGCAGCCGCGGUAACACGUAGGGGGCGAGCGUUGUUCGGAAUUACUGGGCGUAAAGGGCAUGUAGGCGGCUUGGAAAGCCUGGCGUGAAAGUCUGCAGCUUAACUGCAGGGGUGCGCUGGGAACUGCUGAGCUUGAGUGACGGAGAGGGAGCUGGAAUUCCUGGUGUAGGGGUGAAAUCUGUAGAUAUCAGGAAGAACACCGAUGGCGAAGGCAAGCUCCUGGCCGAUGACUGACGCUGAGGCGCGAAAGUGUGGGGAUCAAACAGGAUUAGAUACCCUGGUAGUCCACACAGUCAACGAUGUGCACUAGGUGCUGGGGCGGUAGCUUCGGUGCCGGAGCGAACGUGGUAAGUGCACCGCCUGGGGAGUAUGCUCGCAAGGGUGAAACUCAAAUGAAUUGAC
rnacentral:rRNA from 1 species